rnacentral:rRNA from 1 species
GAGACUCAGUGAAAUUGAACUCGCUGUGAAGAUGCAGUGUACCCGCGGCAAGACGGAAAGACCCCGUGAACCUUUACUAUAGCUUGACACUGAACAUUGAGCCUUGAUGUGUAGGAUAGGUGGGAGGCUUUGAAGUGUGGACGCCAGUCUGCAUGGAGCCGACCUUGAAAUACCACCCUUUAAUGUUUGAUGUUCUAACGUGGACCCGUAAUCCGGGUUGCGGACAGUGUCUGGUGGGUAGUUUGACUGGGGCGGUCUCCUCCUAAAGAGUAACGGAGGAGCACGAAGGUUGGCUAAUCCUGGUCGGACAUCAGGAGGUUAGUGCAAUGGCAUAAGCCAGCUUGACUGCGAGCGUGACGGCGCGAGCAGGUGCGAAAGCAGGUCAUAGUGAUCCGGUGGUUCUGAAUGGAAGGGCCAUCGCUCAACGGAUAAAAGGUACUCCGGGGAUAACAGGCUGAUACCGCCCAAGAGUUCAUAUCGACGGCGGUGUUUGGCACCUCGAUGUCGGCUCAUCACAUCCUGGGGCUGAAGUAGGUCCCAAGGGUAUGGCUGUUCGCCAUUUAAAGUGGUACGCGAGCUGGGUUUAGAACGUCGUGAGACAGUUCGGUCCCUA